rnacentral:rRNA from 1 species
UACGUAGGGGGCUAGCGUUAUCCGGAUUUACUGGGCGUAAAGGGUGCGUAGGUGGUUUCUUAAGUCAGGAGUGAAAGGCUACGGCUUAACCGUAGUAAGCUCUUGAAACUGGGAAACUUGAGUGCAGGAGGGGAAAGUGGAAUUCCUAGUGUAGCGGUGAAAUGCGUAGAUAUUAGGAGGAACACCAGUAGCGAAGGCGGCUUUCUGGACUGUAACUGACACUGAGGCACGAAAGCGUGGGGAGCAAACAGGAUUAGAUACCCUGGUAGUCCCUGAGCGGGCUGG